rfam:Bos taurus connective tissue growth factor precursor (CTGF) gene, complete cds.
AUGGAGACAUGGCCUAAAGCCAGAGACAGUGAGACACGUGAACAUUUUAGGCUGUCACUUGAAUCGAUUCACAUCUCAUUUU